rnacentral:rRNA from 1 species
GACGAACGUUGGCGGCGUGCCUAACACAUGCAAGUUGAGCGUGGCUUUAGUUUACUAAAGUCUAGCAGCGGACGGCUGAGUAAUGAACAGGAACGUACCUCGUAGUGGGGGAUAGCCUCGGGAAACCGAGGGUAAUACCGCAUAUGAUCGCAAGAUCAAAGCCUUCGGGCGCUAUGAGAGCGGCCUGUUUCCUAUCAGGUAGUUGGUGGGGUAAAAGCCUACCAAGCCUAUGACGGGUAACUGGCUGAGAGGAUGACCAGUCAGAUCGGGACUGAGAUACGGCCCGAACUCCUACGGGAGGCAGCAGUUGGGAAUUUUGCACAAUGGACAAAGUCUGAUGCAGCGACGCCGCGUGGAGAUGAAGGUCUUCGGAUUGUAAACUCCUUUUACGAGGGAUUAAUUUUAUGAACGUACCUCGUGAAUAAGCACCGGCUAACUCCGUGCCAGCCGCCGCU